rnacentral:rRNA from 1 species
UACGGAGGAUGCAAGCGUUAUCCGGAUUUAUUGGGUUUAAAGGGUGCGUAGGCGGACCCUUAAGUCAGCGGUGAAAUACCCCGGCUCAACCGGGGGGCUGCCGUUGAUACUGGGGGUCUCGAGGGCGAACGGCGCCGGCGGAAUGUGUCAUGUAGCGGUGAAAUGCAUAGAUAUGACACAGAACACCGAUCGCGAAGGCAGCUGGCGAGGACGCGACUGACGCUGAGGCACGAAGGUGCGGGGAU